UUAACAUGAUGGACUAUAGGACAGGACUGCUGCUUUUAACUCUCUGCUGGGCAGGUGUUGAUGGUCAAACUCUGACACAAUCUGAACCAGUGGUUAAAAGGCCUGGAGAAUCUCACAGAUUGACCUGUACAGCCUCUGGAUUUAACUUUGGUGGCUCUUGGAUGGCCUGGGUCAGACAGGCUCCUGGAAAAGGACUGGAGUGGGUUGCACUUAUAAAACAUGACAGUGCUGUUAUCUCCUACUACCAGUCAGUCCAAGGCCGGUUUACCAUCUCCAGAGACAACAGCAGACAGCAGCUGUAUCUGCAGAUGAACAGUCUGAAGACUGAAGAUUCUGCUGUUUAUUAUUGUGCUCGAGACUCACAGUGA